AUCAGAUUUUUUUUUGUUUUGUUGGAAUGACAUGGAAACAAUGUUGAUUGAACCAGUUUUUGCCCAGUGUGUGUGUUACGUGAGAAUGCAUUUACUUAUGUACACUCAUUCCCUUUAAUGAUUAUCAUCCACAUGUCUCCAUUUCAACUCAGCAAUGUUUUUGGAGGUGAGCAUUUUAUUCUGAUUUACAUCAGCAGGGACUCUAGUUCUAUCAGAUGACUGACUGCUUGAGAAAAGUGAGGGGGAACUCAUACGACCACAUCCCUGUCAGCACAACUCAGAGAAGAUCUCAGACCAGACUGAACAGAUAAGAGAAACUGGAAAGAGCAUUCAUGAGCCGGAAAAGGCCAAGAAUACUGCAGAGUCUGAGAAGGCAGAUUCCAGACUACUCUGGAAGAAGCUGAGCUGGAGCUCAACCAGGACAAGGGUGAAGUCGACAGAAAGCUUGCAAAGGAGGAUGAGGAGAUGGAACAGAUCAAGAGGAACAGCCAGAUGGUGAUUAAUCCAUGCAGAGCAAUCUGGACCCUGAGAGUCAAGAUGGAGACCAAUGAGAUUGAGAUUCAGAUGAGUCAUGCCAACCACCAAGCUGCUGAGGCCCAGAAACAGCAAAGGAUGCCAAACUGCACCUUGAUGCAAUCAGAGGACGGGAUGACAUGAAGGAGCAGGCAGCCAUGGUGGAGCGCAGGAACGCCCUGAUGUUGGCUGAGAUUGAGGAGCUGAAGGCUGCUCUGGAGCAGACAGAGAGGCCACCAAGUGGCAAAGCAAGAGCUGGUGGAUGCCAUUGAACAGGUUGGACUGCUGCUCUCAGGUCCAAGGUGAGGUGGAAGACACUGUUCACGAAGUCAGAAAUGCAGAGGAGAAGGCUAAGGCCAUCACUGACGGGAGUCAAAUAAAAUAUGUAUUAGUUAACUAAAACUUUUCUAUGAACAAAUAUGUCACAAAUCAUGCUGCAUUGAUGAGCUGAAGAAGGAGCAGGACACCAGCACUCACCUGGAGAGGAUGAAGAAUAACCUUAAGGUAACAGUCAAGGACCUGCAGGUCCGUCCGGGUGGGAAGUUAGUUAAUUAUUGAUUAAUUAUUGAUAACAGGCGCUAACAUUUGGAAGGGGAUAGCUAUACAGUAUAUGUCCAUAAUGAGCAGAAUUCUAAUCAAAAUAUCAAUUCCUAAAUCAAAGUGUGUGAACUGGAGUCUUGCCUGGUAGGUGGAGCAGAUACUAUUAAAGGUGUAAAGGUGUCUGCAAAUGUGAGAGGAGAGUGAAGGAGCUCACCUACCAGGUAAAUUCAUAGUCUGUGUUGAACAAAUGGCUAGAAAAUUAUUUGACUCUCAGCAUCUAAAAUAAAACCAAUGUCACCUCUACCUCAAACUGAGGACAAGAAGAAUGUUACCAGGCUGUAGGAUUUGGUGGACAAGCUGCAGUUGAAGGUUAAGGCCUACAAGAGGCAGGCUGAGGAAGCAGAAGAACAAGCCAACACUCACCUGGCCAAGUUCAGGAAGGUGCAGCAUGGACUGGAGGAAGCUAAGGAGCGUGCUAACAUUAGAGUCCCAGCUGAGAGCCAAAAGUUGUAACUCUGGAAAGGAAACAAAAGCUGAAUAAAGAAGUGUUCAUCGACAAUGUUACUGAAGUCUUCUCAAAACUGCUCAUAAUGAUUGUGAAAGUAUUUUAUGUGCAUUGAUUAAAAGAAUUAAACAAUG